GUUGUUUCAGCUGGUACAUCAGUCGUUUCACCUGGUGCUUCUUUUGUUUCAGCUGGUACAUCAGUUGUUUCAGCUGACACUUCUGUUGUUUCAGCUGGUACACCUGUUGUUUCAGCUGUUGUUUCUGUUGUUUUGAUUCUUACUUCUGUUGUUUCAACUGGUGUUUCAGUUGUUUCAGCUGGUACUUCUGUUGUUUCUGCUGGUACUUUAGUUGUUUCAGCUGGUGCUUCUGUUGUUUCAGCUGGUACUUCUGUUGUUUCAGCCAGAUACUUCUGUUGUUUGAGCUAGUACUUCUGUUGUUUCAGCUGGUACUUUAGUUAUUUCAGAUGGUAGUUCUGUGGUUUCUGCGGGUACUUCAGUUGUUUCUGCUCCAGAUCCAGAUAGUAACAAAAGUGAUGCUUCUGAAGUAGCAUAUGUUGAAGAAGUAACUUCCUUGAAUGUUGAAGAUGGUGUUACAGUUUCUAAACCAGAUC